UACGUAGGUGGCAAGCGUCGUCCGGAAUUAUUGGGCGUAAAGCGCGCGCAGGCGGUCCUUUAAGUCUGAUGUGAAAGCCCACGGCUCAACCGUGGAGGGUCAUUGGAAACUGGGGGACUUGAGUACAGAAGAGGAAAGCGGAAUUCCACGUGUAGCGGUGAAAUGCGUAGAGAUGUGGAGGAACACCAGUGGCGAAGGCGGCUUUCUGGUCUGUAACUGACGCUGAGGCGCGAAAGCGUGGGGAGCAAACAGG
rnacentral:rRNA from 1 species